rnacentral:sRNA from 1 species
GCCAGGUGUGGUGGUCUAUGCCUGUAAUCCCAACUACUCCAGAGGUUGAUGAAGGAGGAUCACUUGAGUCCAGGAGUUUGAGGCCAGCCUGAGCAACAUAGUGAGACCCUAUCUU